GUGAACGCUGGCGGUAGGCCUAACACAUGCAAGUCGAACGGCAGCACAGUAAGAGCUUGCUCUUACGGGUGGCGAGUGGCGGACGGGUGAGGAAUACAUCGGAAUCUACUUUUUCGUGGGGGAUAACGUAGGGAAACUUACGCUAAUACCGCAUACGACCUACGGGUGAAAGCAGGGGAUCUUCGGACCUUGCGCGAUUGAAUGAGCCGAUGUCGGAUUAGCUAGUUGGCGGGGUAAAGGCCCACCAAGGCGACGAUCCGUAGCUGUUCUGAGAGGAUGAUCAGCCACACUGGAACUGAGACACGGUCCAGACUCCUACGGGAGGCAGCAGUGGGGAAUAUUGGACAAUGGGCGCAAGCCUGAUCCAGCCAUACCGCGUGGGUGAAGAAGGCCUUCGGGUUGUAAAGCCCUUUUGUUGGGAAAGAAAAGCAGCAGGUUAAUACCCCGCUGUUCUGACGGUACCCAAAGAAUAAGCACCGGCUAACUUCGUG
rnacentral:rRNA from 1 species